GGCUGUCUACCUGUGUGUGUGUGACUGUCUACCUGUGUGUGUGUUUGUGUGUGUGUGGCUGUCUGCCUGUGUAUGUGGCUGUCUGCCUGUGUGUUUGACUGUCUGCCUGUGUGUGUGGGUGGCUGUCUGCCUGUCUCUGUAUGUUUGCCUCGGUGUCAGUGACUGUCUGCCUCUGUGUGUGUGGCUGUCUUUGUGUGUGUGCAUCUGCUAGUGAGUGAGCGAGCGAGUUUCUGUGUGUGUGUGUGUG